UACGAAGGGGGCUAGCGUUGUUCGGAAUCACUGGGCGUAAAGGGCGCGUAGGCGGCCCUUCUUGUCGCGUGUGAAAGCCCCGGGCUCAACCUGGGAACGGCGCGCGAGACGGGAGGGCUGGAGUUCGGGAGAGGAGCGUGGAAUUCCCAGUGUAGAGGUGAAAUUCGUAGAUAUUGGGAAGAACACCGGUGGCGAAGGCGGCGAGCUGGUCCAUUACUGACGCUGAGGCGCGACAGCGUGGGGAGCAAACAGG
rnacentral:rRNA from 1 species